AUAGGCUCUGUAGUGAUUAGCAUAGGUGUCCGGGCUUGUUUAUUAGUGCUGUGAAAGUUAUUAUUGAUAGUCAUGCCUUAUGACGGCCGUUUUAACGUUUAUAUCAUGUUUACAGAUACAGUGCCUGUAGGGAAUAUCUAGAUAAGCGCAGAGUUAAGGGGAUAUGUCCAAGGGGGUAGUCUAGGAUACACACUUUUUGCAUUUUGUACAUGUUGUGAGCUAUUUGCAGCAUUUACAAGCUAUUGACAACCCAAUUUACUUUUUAUUUUUUCACUACUUGCAGCUGUUGCCAUAACUACUGCCUCUGUUUCCUCUGUUCAGGCUAUCUAGCUUCCUGCAACAAGGGAUGUUGCAUGCCAGACUGACCCACUGUAGGCACACAGUUAUCCGUGAAGACUCUUCAGCCUCACAUCAGAAGUACAGACUCUACCUGGCUGCCAUGUCCUACAAUGAAAAUGCUGACUGACCACAAGCCCAAACAAAAGAAGGUGAACCACUGCUCAAGGUCCAAUCUCCAAAGGGAAUCUGGUUGACCUCAUAUUUGAAAAAUUCUUUGUUGACCUGGGACCAUACACAGAGGCUGCUUUGGCCAUCCCCAUCCCAGAGGACCUCACUGCACAGUUCGAGCGGUCUGAGAAGGAGUAGGUCAUAUCCAGCUAUGUGUCCCGGUUCUAUCAUGGGCCAGUCUAAAACCCAUGUACUGGCAUGUGGCAUCAGGAAACUCGGUAUGGAUGCGUAGGACCACGCAGGCUGGAAUGACGACUCAGAUUCUGCGACCAAGGAAGCCCCAGCACCAGCUCACAAAGCUCCUAUAGGCUAGAUACCUGUACCGACUAAAACAACUGGACAGGGCAUUUAGUCUUGCAAACAUAUAUCUAUGAUGUGUCUCACAAUUUUUUUUAUGGAUCCAGUGAAUCCUACAGUUUUUUUUAUUAUCACUGAUUAUAAGUCCCUCAUUUGAUGUAAAUAAAUGCUUGAUUGUUACUAAAGACAUGACUCCUCUGAAUUCAUAUAUUAUAUGCACACUAUCUACUGAUAGAAGAACUUUACAAAUCAAAGAGCAGCUAAACUAAUUUAUUUGAGGGUGUGUUACUCUAUUUGUGGUGUGUUAUUACCAUUGUAAAAUUAUGUGCACUGCAGUAAAACAAGACUGCCUAACAUCUUUUAUUUAGAUCGAAACUAUAUGUUUUUACAAAGAAGCAAAUCGUACUGGUGUAUUCCUCUCAACCGUAAAGUACAGUAGUCAGCGCGGUACAUGUUGCAGGCAUUCUGGAGGGAGUACACAUUGAGGUAGGCGGCUCCAACCCAGGACGGUCUACCAUACAUGGUAACUCUUCCUCGAUCUCCCAUAGCUGUCUGGUAACCUACAGUGAAUUGCAAAUGGUAAAUGCUAUGGUUUAUUAUAAAUGUAAUGUAAAAAACAAAUUACUGAUUAGUUUGUCUAAAGAGAAUGCUAUCUGUGGUAUCUCCU